GCUCACCGUGUGGGAUUGGUCGGUGCAGUUUGAACCCAAAGCCCAGACAUUGCUCAAAAACCCUCUUUAUGUGGAAAAGCCAAAACUGGACAAAGGCCAGCGGAAAGGAAUGCGCUUCAAACUCUGUCUCCAGGCCCAGAAUUUCUCCCCCACAGAGUCCACAAAGGAGAGAGCAGUGAUGCAUCAACGACAACUUUCUUUGCCACUUACACAGUCUAAGUCAUCUCCCAAAAGAGGAUUUUUCAGGGAAGAAACAGAUCAUUUAAUUAAAAACCUUCUGGGCAAGAGAAUUAGCAAACUUAUUAAUUCUUCUGAUGAGCUCCAAGACAACUUUCGAGAGUUCUAUGACAGCUGGCAUAGCAAGUCCACUGACUACCAUGGUUUGUUGUUACCGCAUAUCGAGGGGCCCGAAAUCAAAGUCUGGGCCCAGCGCUACCUGCGUUG
rnacentral:sRNA from 1 species